CACCCCUUCUUCAAACACACAGAACCGAUAUUUUCUUUUUCUCUGUUUCUCUUCUUUUUUUUCUUCGUCUCUCCACACAAAAUCUCAAUCUUCUCUCUCAAAUCUCAACCCUUAUUUUCUCAAAUCACAACUUUCAGCACUUGAAACUCAUAUCGUUCUCAUUUCUCUCUUUAUCAUUCUCAAUUCCGCGCAAUGCCAUAAAAUGUCCACCCGCAUUCCACUGUCAACGGCUGAUUUUUCAUCGUCUCCGUCGGUUGCAUCAACUUUGGUGAAUGUGGUUUUAUUUUUUUCUCAUCUGCUUUCAUACCUCUUUUUAAUUUAUAUCGUUCUCACAUCCCUUAUCUUUAUGCACUAAAAUGUGCACAAUCUGUUGGUUGACUUUCCAUCACCUCCGUCACUCUCCAUCAUCUUCAGUGAUUCUCCAUCGACUGACUCUCUGCACCGCCCUUUCACGGGGUCACAAUCGUCCCAAUUCCAGUAUUGUACAGUGGAGUUAAGUGUGAUGUGGAGGUGCAUCAGAGUUAAGUGUAACAUGGAAGUCCUCUAUUGUACACUACACUUAAUUUGUGGAUGGAAUGAGGCUUUGCAUAUUGAUGAAGAAUGAAGAUGACAACUCACUUAACCCUUAAAUUUUGUACUCAUUACGGAAAUAUUAAAAAGUUGGUGAAUCUUGUAUUUUGUUGUUCACUUUGUAUUAAUUACUUUGUAACUUUAU